UUCUCAGAAAAAAAAACUAUUUUAACAAUUGUUCUUCCUAGGACACCUGGCCAUUGUUUCGAGCGUUGAAGUUACCAUUUAUUGCUCAUCAUCUUGAUUUGAAGGAUUUUGGUCUGCCGGAGCUUGCAAAUUUUGAUGAUGAUCCUACGGUUCAUUCUUUAAUCAGGAGCUCAAGAGUGCAGAAGGAAGACGACCUGAAGAGGAAGUUCUCCGUAGACCCGUUUUCUAAACAUAAUUCCAAGCUUAGAGCUUACAGUAUCAAGUAUGUGAUAUGGUCUGACAGAUUUGGUUGCGGACCCAACUGUAAUUACAGGAUAUGUCUG